GGCCUUAUGGUCUAGUAGUAUGAUUCUCGCUUUGGGAUGUACAAUGCGAGAGGUCCUGGGUUCAAUUCCCAGUGAGGCCC
rnacentral:tRNA from 1 species